rnacentral:lncRNA from 1 species
CUGUUCUUCAUAUCUUCCUAUUUUUGCUUCGAUCGCCUCAUCCUGGAUAUCUGUUUUGGUAUAAUAAUGAUGUCUUCUCAAGCUUGCGUUAUCUUUGCUGCAAACAAAUGGAAGUUGGUCGCUCCCACCGCGACUAAAUAAUAGAGUUGUUUAAGCAUUGUGACUAAACUUUUUUCCGCACAUGAACAUUGCAGGCAUCAGAGGCAAGGAAGAGGAUCUUUGAGGGAACAUGUUCGACUAAUGACGAAUUGCUUGAUCAAAAUAAAAAAACCUGACAGAACCAAUGUGCUUGAUGAUGAGUUUGAGAAAUCGGUGCUAUUCUUGAAAUCAUCUUUUUUUCCGAUUCAUUAUCUACAUGUCUUUUCAUACUAGAACUGGAUAUAAUUCUACUCCAUUGAAGCACAAAAUAACGUUCUUGCCACAUAUAGAUGGCUUAUAGCAUAUCGAAUUCGAACCACUUAGCAACAAGUUUUACCAGGUAGGUAACUACAUAUGUUGCUAGAAACUUUCUGCUGUCGAUAUUUAUUUUCCGGGAGACAGAACGGUUUGUAGCUUAAAGGUUCGUACUCUGCUUUUAACAGAGCCGGGAAUUCCAGUGUCACUAUGUCGGAAUCCUUGCAGAUGUAAAAAAUUGUUUUCAUAAUAUUUUUUUUCCUGGAUUGAGGUUAGUAAAAUUGGUAAAAGAACGUCUUUGAAGCAUUCCAUUUUCACUCAUUCACAUCUCAAGGCGGUGAGGGUAUCCUAAGUUCAGCUUUGAUUAACUCCAUUGAAGUACAUAUUGUCGAAUUUGUAGAAGAAAAUACGGUUUUGGUUUAGAUUUAUUUUUCUAUUACCUUUUUGUUUAAAACAUGGUUAUAAGCAAAAUUUAGUGACAAGAACAUGAGAAUUGAACAAAUUGUAAUAUAUUUCAAAGUCUACAAAGAAAAUACAAAUGAUUUAUUGAUCAUAAAAGCAUACCAGUCAUAAAAGUACAUUGUGAUAAAAGAAGUUAAUAAUACUAACAAGUACACUUGAAAAACCAUUCUAUAUGUGUGUGUGUGUGUACACACCUCUCUUUCUUGAUCCAUGAAUAGUGGAUGGAUGGCUUCCUGUUCUUUUCCCUUGUGCAGCAAACAACCUCUUGCACAUCCAAAUCCAAUACUUUACACAUCUAUCUUGCACAUAGGCAAGAUAAGAGGACGGAAGGUUACUAGGUUAUAUAAUAUACGUAUGCAGGCUGAAGUGUAUAGAAUUUUAGUACUUGCUAGUAAGGAGGAGGUGGUGGCCUGUAGGGAUCAAAGAAUGGUGGUGGGGGAGGACCAGGGGGUCCAGGAGGUGGAGGUGGAUGGUGGUGAUGAGGGGGUGGUUGAUGACCAAAGGGU